GCCGGGAUGGCGAAAUUGGCAGACGCAGCGGACUCAAAAUCCGCCGAGAUAACCUCUCGUGGGGGUUCGACUCCCCCUCCCGGCACCA
rnacentral:tRNA from 1 species